rnacentral:rRNA from 1 species
GAUGAACGCUGGCGGCGCGCCUAACACAUGCAAGUCGAACGGCACCUGCCCUCGGGCAGAAGCGAGUGGCGAACGGCUGAGUAACACGUGGAGAACCUGCCCCCUCCCCCGGGAUAGCCGCCCGAAAGGACGGGUAAUACCGGAUACCCCCGGGCGCCGCAUGGCGCCCGGGCUAAAGCCCCGACGGGAGGGGAUGGCUCCGCGGCCCAUCAGGUAGACGGCGGGGUGACGGCCCACCGUGCCGACAACGGGUAGCCGGGUUGAGAGACCGACCGGCCAGAUUGGGACUGAGACACGGCCCAGACUCCUACGGGAGGCAGCAGUGGGGAAUCUUGCGCAAUGGGGGGAACCCUGACGCAGCGACGCCGCGUGCGGGACGGAGGCCUUCGGGUCGUAAACCGCUUUCAGCAGGGAAGAGUCAAGACUGUACCUGCAGAAGAAGCCCCGGCUAACUACGUGCCAGCAGCCGCGGUAAUACGUAGGGGGCGAGCGUUAUCCGGAUUCAUUGGGCGUAAAGCGCGCGUAGGCGGCCCGGCAGGCCGGGGUUCCAAACGCGGGGGGCUCAAACCCCCCCGAAGCCCCCGGAACCUCCGCGGCUUGGGUCCGGUAGGGGAGGGUGGAACACCCGGUGUAGCGGUGGAAUGCGCAGAUAUCGGGUGGAACACCGGUGGCGAAGGCGGCCCUCUGGGCCGAGACCGACGCUGAGGCGCGAAAGCUGGGGGAGCGAACAGGAUUAGAUACCCUGGUAGUCCCAGCCGUAAACGAUGGACGCUAGGUGUGGGGGGACGAUCCCCCCGUGCCGCAGCCAACGCAUUAAGCGUCCCGCCUGGGGAGUACGGCCGCAAGGCUAAAACUCAAAGGAAUUGACGGGGGCCCGCACAAGCAGCGGAGCAUGUGGCUUAAUUCGAAGCAACGCGAAGAACCUUACCAGGGCUUGACAUAUGGGUGAAGCGGGGGAGACCCCGUGGCCGAGAGGAGCCCAUACAGGUGGUGCAUGGCUGUCGUCAGCUCGUGUCGUGAGAUGUUGGGUUAAGUCCCGCAACGAGCGCAACCCCCGCCGCGUGUUGCCAUCGGGUGAUGCCGGGAACCCACGCGGGACCGCCGCCGUCAAGGCGGAGGAGGGCGGGGACGACGUCAAGUCAUCAUGCCCCUUAUGCCCUGGGCUGCACACGUGCUACAAUGGCCGGUACAGAGGGAUGCCACCCCGCGAGGGGGAGCGGAUCCCGGAAAGCCGGCCCCAGUUCGGAUUGGGGGCUGCAACCCGCCCCCAUGAAGUCGGAGUUGCUAGUAAUCGCGGAUCAGCAUGCCGCGGUGAAUGCGUUCCCGGGCCU